GGAAUCUUCGGCAAUGGACGCAAGCCUGAUGGAGCAACACCGCGUGAGUGAAGAAGGGUUUCGGCUCGUAAAACACUGUUGUAAGAGAAGAAUGACAUUGAGAGUAACUGUUCAAUGUGUGACGGUAUCUUACCAGAAAGGAACGGCUAAAUACGUGCCAG
rnacentral:rRNA from 1 species